GAUGAAGAACGCAGCGAAAUGCGAUACUUGGUGUGAAUUGCAGAAUCCCGUGAACCAUCGAGUCUUUGAACGCAAGUUGCGCCCGAAGCCAUCAGGUUGAGGGCACGUCUGCCUGGGCGUCACAUAUCGUUGCCCAAUGCCUAUUGCAGUGCAAUAGGAAUUUCUAGGGCGAAUGAUGGCUUCCCGUGAGCGUUGUUGCCUCGCGGUUGGUUGAAAAUCGAGUCCUUGGUAGGGUGUGCCAUGGUAGAUGGUGGUCGAGUUAGAACGAUACCGAUCAUGUGCAUGCUCCCCAAAAUAUGGCCUCUAUGACCCACACGCGUCUUUUGACGCUCAUGACGAGACCUCAGGUCACGCGGGGCUACCCGCUGAAUUUAAGCAUAUCAAUAAGCGGAGGA
rnacentral:misc_RNA from 1 species